rnacentral:misc_RNA from 1 species
UCCGCCUGCGACCGGAUUCAUUUAAUCUCUGGUAGCCUCUCCUCCUCCAGUAGCCUCUGAGCUUGGUGUACAUGUUGGCAGAAGCACCUUCCAUAAUUACGGUUUUAGAGGUAGAGAGGAAUGGAGAUGGAUGAUGAGAUUUCUGAGUUGAUGUUUGAUAAAGAGCAAACUGGAGAUGGGAAUGAAUAUAGCAUAGUGGAGGGGCUGGGACUCAUAAAUG